AAUGAACGCUGGCGGCAGGCCUAACACAUGCAAGUCGAACGAAGCCUUCGGGCUUAGUGGCGCACGGGUGCGUAACGCGUGGGAAUCUGCCCUUGGGUUCGGAAUAACAGUUAGAAAUGACUGCUAAUACCGGAUGAUGUCUUCGGACCAAAGAUUUAUCGCCCAAGGAUGAGCCCGCGUAGGAUUAGGUAGUUGGUGGGGUAAUGGCCCACCAAGCCGACGAUCCUUAGCUGGUCUGAGAGGAUGAUCAGCCACACUGGGACUGAGAAACGGCCCAGACUCCUACGGGACGCAGCAGUGGGGAAUAUUGGACAAUGGGCGAAAGCCUGAUCCAGCAAUGCCGCGUGAGUGAUGAAGGCCUUAGGGUUGUAAAGCUCUUUUACCCGGGAUGAUAAUGACAGUACCGGGAGAAUAAGCUCCGGCUAACUCCGUGCCAGCCGCCGCCGUAA
rnacentral:rRNA from 1 species